UACGGGGGGGGCAAGCGUUGUUCGGAAUUACUGGGCGUAAAGGGCUCGUAGGUGGCCAACUAAGUCAGACGUGAAAUCCCUCGGCUUAACCGGGGAACUGCAUCUGAUACUGGAUGGCUGGAGAUUGGGAGAGGGAUGCGGAAUUCCAGGUGUAGCGGUGAAAUGCGUAGAUAUCUGGAGGAACACCGGUGGCGAAGGCGGCAUCCUGGACCAACACUGACGCUGAGGAGCGAAAGCCAGGGGAGCAAACGGG
rnacentral:rRNA from 1 species